GAUGAACGCUGGCGGCGUGCCUAAUACAUGCAAGUCGAGCGAACAGACGAGGAGCUUGCUCCUCUGACGUUAGCGGCGGACGGGUGAGUAACACGUGGAUAACCUACCUAUAAGACUGGGAUAACUUCGGGAAACCGGAGCUAAUACCGGAUAAUAUAUUGAACCGCAUGGUUCAAUAGUGAAAGACGGUUUUGCUGUCACUUAUAGAUGGAUCCGCGCCGCAUUAGCUAGUUGGUAAGGUAACGGCUUACCAAGGCAACGAUGCGUAGCCGACCUGAGAGGGUGAUCGGCCACACUGGAACUGAGACACGGUCCAGACUCCUACGGGAGGCAGCAGUAGGGAAUCUUCCGCAAUGGGCGGAAGCCUGACGGAGCAACGCCGCGUGAGUGAUGAAGGUCUUCGGAUCGUAAAACUCUGUUAUCAGGGAAGAACAAAUGUGUAAGUAACUAUGCACGUCUUGACGGUACCUAAUCAGAAAGCCACGGCUAACUACGUG
rnacentral:rRNA from 1 species